rnacentral:lncRNA from 1 species
AAUUAACCAAAGAUAGCUGGUAGACAUGCAGAUGGACUGGUUAACCCAUUCAAAUACCAAAAUCAAAGUCCAAUACUUUCCCCUUGACGAGAAAAAAUUCUGGCAUUAAACAGCUUAAAAUAACAAAGUAGGGCAAACUGAGGCACAUUGCAGCUUAACUUGCUCCAACUCUAUCAUUACAAACUGUAAAUCUUUAAUAGUAAAAUUCAUAUCCAGACACAAAAUUUGGUUACAAUUCAAUAAUUUGAAAAGUGCUGUUGCAUCCCUAACCUACUAAACUGCUUGCAAAUAUUAAAGGAAAGCUAUAAGGGCAGUUAAAAAAUAUAACAAGGAUUUGGUUUAUAAAUUGUUAAUUUCUAGAGAUGAUAACACAAUACAAACAUGGAAUUCACUAUAUUCAUAUUUUUAAUGAUAUGUUUUAUAAGUCUAAAUUCCUUUUAAUAUUCCUCUGAUAUACAAAUCUUCUGAAAACUUUAAUAUUAUCAAGGUUUAUAAACGACUUAAUAUUAGAAUUGAGACUCUUCAGGUAUUUUAAUACUACAGUAGCAAUUAAUACACAGUACAUUGUAAUUGUUUUUGUUCUUGAAAAUUGCCCUUUCCACGCGCUCUUUCAACCAUUAGAAACAUAAUAGCGUUAAACGGCUAAAUUAUGCUGGAGGAACCACAAAUGUCUCUACAUUUAAAGCUUUUUCAAACUGACACAGAGGUGAAUGGACAAGAUUACAAUUAAUUGUGACAUUUUUCUUCGACAACAGCACUCUUCGCGGCUCCUGCCGGCUCUAUACUGACCCUGUUUCACACGCAAUAUUUUCCUUAUUCAGUCGCUAACACACCUUUUGUAUCCCACUAUGAAGAACAUCAACAUUUCCACCAAAACCCCGAAAAAAUAAUCAUUUUAUAGACGAAACAAUAAAAUAUUUCAAACAAUUUGUUUUGCUUUUGGCAACGCAUGCGCAGUUCGGUCGACAUACAGUUUUCUGUAUGUCUGAGAUGGAUUAUCCCAGAGCCUUCGUUUCCUUCCCAAGGAUCGCAGGCUCGGGGAACGAGAUUGGU